CUCUGACGAAAGGACCCGGCGUUAAUGCUUUAACAACACACACAUCAGCUGCUCGUUCCUGGGCUGGAACGGCUGAGAACAGUAAUAUCACUGCAUCUCUGGGGAAACUGCAAAGGAACCACAUCUGCAACUUUUCCAAACAACUGUGAAAAAUGUCGGGUCGAAGAAACAACCCGAAACAUUCACAGCAUUUGAGUUUAACCUCAAAUUACAGAAGAUGCUGCUGAGUGAGUGCACUCAAAAAAUGACUCUUGCCCCUAAUGAAAUAUAUGGUUCAGAUGAUUGGGUUUUUUUAAAUAAGCAUAAUGCAAAUAUGCUCAAACAUGUACUAAAAGAAAUCAAGUAACCUCUACUUGAAAUCUUCUGUUCAAAUAUGAUGUGAUGUACAGAUAAUGAGGAAUUUCACAUUAAUGUUAACUAUUUCAUGCACUUUUAAUGUCAACCAGCCAAACGUUCUGCAGAUGACUGAUCCUAUGGGGAAACUGUGUUUGGUGAUGGAGCAAACUGGCCUUGAUCUGACAACCCUCUGCUGUUGUUGAAUUUCCAUUUAUUUGCUUAAAGGCUCCGGGCGGCAACGACCGACACAGAAGGAAGCAAACAGAAACACACGGGAAUAAAAGUGGAAACGUGAAAAUGAUCACAGAUGAUAAAUGGAGUCAGAUUCGGGCCUGUGUUUGCGCAAACGCACACGAAGGAGGUCAGAGCCGUCCGAACCAAACCCAACAAGUCAACAAGGAAAGUACUGAUAAGGAGAUGCUGCAAGGAAUAAAAUAAUAUGAAGUAAAUGUCAGGUUUGUGCAUUAGUACACGUACAGUACAUACAAAGCUACAAUCCCCAGUGAUUGACUGUUUCUAGUGACAAUACAGCAGUUGUGACAUUCAUCAUCUCUGUUGUAGGAAGCCUGUUUUGUGUCACAUGCAGGAAGACGCGUCUCUAACUGUGUGUGGACAGAAAUAGGCCGAUCUCCACACUGAUCUUCCUUCCUGUGACAGGCAAAGACACGCACCCACUCCAACCCAGCGGGCCUCCGCUCCAGGAUCGCUGCACCGUGACCCCAACCAGGCCAGGCAGCCGGGAGAUGGUGGGGGAUCCUGGCUCUUCAGUCACGGAGGCUGAGAGGCAGGAGCGCGUGUGGUCAGUGGUUCCAGUCGUGGGCAGGUCACAUGGAGGCUGCUGCUCGGCCGCCUUCAUGGACGCUUGCUGCAGCGGGAGGGAGAGGAGCUCCUCGCGCUGCAGGAGCCGGACCCGAUCCCACGGACGCCCGUCCUCGUGAAGCAGGCAGCUGCUUAUCUGGAUCCUAGGGAGGACCGUGACGAGUUGUUUCCUUCACUCUUCAACUGAGUCAGCGUUUCCACAUCAGCCCAAAGCCCGUCAGCGUGUUACGUGCUUAUGGUUCCCCCUCAGAUGCCUUUCACUUGAAUAAGAGGAGCCUGUCCUGCUGUGGAGCUGUCGAAGCGUCUGAGCUGCACUCAGAGCCACGGAGGAGAUCCCCUAAAGCAGAUGAAUCAUGCCUUAGUGAGUGACACACAUAGUGUAGGUGGGUCUCACUUCUUCACAGGAAGAUGAGAUUAUGUCUUAGGCAUUAACCAGUUAUGGUUUGAUUCAUAUGUGUUUAGGCUCAGGAAUGACUCAGUCGAGGUUGGAAAAGAUUUUAGUUGUGAAGUUGCAUCAUGCUGGCACCAAUAUAACUACAGUUGAAAUCAGAUGUUAUUUUGAUGUUUGGACGUGCUCAGCCUAUUUCAGUGUUUGCACUUUUUUAUACACUUUUCACAAGGCUCAUCCGCCCAGACACACCCAUCUUUCUCCACGAACCACUUCCUUCCUCUUUGUUUUUUGAUUGUGUGACAAAACACGGUUGUCGUGACAUAAUGAUUCCCAAACAGCCCCCCUCUGUUACGCCUUAUAGAAGAAGUGUGAGUUAUGUUAAGGCCUCUGUGUGUGUGUGUGUGUGUGUGUGUGUGUGUGUGUGUGUGUGUGUGUGUGUGUGUGUGUGUGUGUGUGUGUGUGUGUGUGUGUGUGUGCGUGUGCGUGUGCGUGUGCGUG